rfam:Lottia gigantea unplaced genomic scaffold LOTGIsca_51, whole genome shotgun sequence.
UAAACGGCCCUUUUCAGGGACAUCAGGGCCACCAAACUUAAUAUAUAUAAAACACG